rnacentral:rRNA from 1 species
GAUGAACGCUGGCGGCGUGCCUAAUACAUGCAAGUCGAGCGAACAGACGAGGAGCUUGCUCCUCUGACGUUAGCGGCGGACGGGUGAGUAACACGUGGAUAACCUACCUAUAAGACUGGGAUAACUUCGGGAAACCGGAGCUAAUCCCGGAUAAUAUAUUGAACCGCAUGGUUCAAUAGUGAAAGACGGUUUUGCUGUCACUUAUAGAUGGAUCCGCGCCGCAUUAGCUAGUUGGUAAGGUAACGGCUUACCAAGGCAACGAUGCGUAGCCGACCUGAGAGGGUGAUCGGCCACACUGGAACUGAGACACGGUCCAGACUCCUACGGGAGGCAGCAGUAGGGAAUCGUCCGCAAUGGGCGAAAGCCUGACGGAGCAACGCCGCGUGAGUGAUGAAGGUCUUCGGAUCGUAAAACUCUGUUAUUAGGGAAGAACAAAUGUGUAAGUAACUAUGCACGUCUUGACGGUACCUAAUCAGAAAGCCACGGCUAACUACGUG